rnacentral:rRNA from 1 species
GAUGAACGCUGGCGGCGUGCCUAAUACAUGCAAGUCGAGCGAACAGACGAGGAGCUUGCUCCUCUGACGUUAGCGGCGGACGGGUGAGUAACACGUGGAUAACCGACCUAUAAGACUGGGAUAACUUCGGGAAACCGGAGCUAAUACCGGAUAAUAUAUUGAACCGCAUGGUUCAAUAGUGAAAGACGGUUUUGCUGUCACUUAUAGAUGGAUCCGCGCCGCAUUAGCUAGUUGGUAAGGUAACGGCUUACCAAGGCAACGAUGCGUAGCCGACCUGAGAGGGUGAUCGGCCACACUGGAACUGAGACACGGUCCAGACUCCUACGGGAGGCAGCAGUAGGGAAUCUUCCGCAAUGGGCGAAAGCCUGACGGAGCAACGCCGCGUGAGUGAUGAAGGUCUUCGGAUCGUAAAACUCUGUUAUUAGGGAAGAACAGAUGUGUAAGUAACUAUGCACGUCUUGACGGUACCUAAUCAGAAAGCCACGGCUAACUACGUG